rnacentral:rRNA from 1 species
ACAGCAGUCGCCGCGGUAAUACAGAGGGUGCGAGCGUUAAUCGGAUUUACUGGGCGUAAAGCGUGCGUAGGCGGCUAAUUGAGUCGGAUGUGAAAUCCCCGAGCUUAACUUGGGAAUUGCAUUCGAUACUGGUUAGCUAGAGUGUGGGAGAGGAUGGUAGAAUUCCAGGUGUAGCGGUGAAAUGCGUAGAGAUCUGGAGGAAUACCGAUGGCGAAGGCAGCCAUCUGGCCUAAUACUGACGCUGAGGUACGAAAGCAUGGGGAGCAAACAGGAUUAGAUACCCGCGUAGUCCCUGUCUCUUAUAA